rnacentral:rRNA from 1 species
AGCGAACGUUAGCGGCAGGCUUAACACAUGCAAGUCGAGCGAGAAAGAGGGUUUCGGCCCUCGAGUAAAGCGGCGUACGGGUGAGUAACACGUGGGUAAUCUGCCCUCCGGUGGGGGACAACAACCCGAAAGGGUUGCUAAUACCGCAUUCGUCGGCGAGCUCUGCGGAGCACGUCGGGAAAGGUGCCCUCUACUUGUAAGGUACCGCCGGAGGAGGAGCCCGCGUCCCAUCAGCUAGUUGGUAGGGAACGGCCUACCAAGGCAAAGACGGGUAGCUGGUCUGAGAGGAUGAUCAGCCACACUGGGACUGAGACACGGCCCA